AAGGUUAUAGCUCAGUGGUAGAGUAACAUGCUUAGCAUGCACGAGGUCCUGGGUUCAAUCCCCAGUACCUCCA
rnacentral:tRNA from 1 species